AUAAUAAUAAUCGGGCACGGCUUUUGGUUGGACCGCCGCAGAUAUGCGCAGCGUGUGUCAGCUGCCUGAAUAUGUGUCAACCUUCCCAAGACGAUGAUGCAUCUCUAUUUUCUGUAUAUAUACACACACACACACAUACAUACAUACACGAUUAUGCAAAAUUACCGUCCAAUUAGGGUUUUAGGUCAAACGAAUAAAUCUGAAUAAAAUUAGGAAAAACCAGAGAUGGCGAUGAUUAUGAUGGGGUUGAGCGUGCAGUGCGUGUUGGACUUCAUGGUGGCGGGUUUCUCGCUAAUGGUCGGGCUCGGAAUAUUCGCUUUCAUCGCUUCAAUCCUCUGCUCUGCUGCUUUCUUCCAGAACGCCAAGGAGGUGCCUUGAAUUUUGAUUCAUUUUCCUGCGAAAAUGCUGUCCUGGCUAAUAUUACCGUACGUGUUUGGUCUUCGAAAAUGGUUAUCGUUUUCAGAAUUCCAAACACUAAAAUCGUCUGAGUAGGAUAAUAAGUGGUGUACUUCAUUUUGUUGUUGUUUUGAGAUUGUUGACUGUGACAUCUUACCCCUUUUCUUUUACUACAAAUACAUAGGAAUAUCGACUUUCUUGAAUUCGGAUUUAAGUUGAGUAUAUGCUUAAGUCGAUAAUUCUCGACAUUAGUGAGGAUAUAUGAAUUCGAAAAACUUAUUUCGAAAUAGAAUACCAAGUGUAAUCGGGUAGUAAAGAUGGAAGCAACACAAUUAUUGUCGACUUUUUCGGGUAAAUUCGUUAUUCGUAC